rnacentral:rRNA from 1 species
CCUACGGGUGGCAGCAGUGGGGAAUAUUGGACAAUGGGCGAAAGCCUGAUCCAGCCAUGCCGCGUGUGUGAAGAAGGCCUUCGGGUUGUAAAGCACUUUCAGUGGGGAAGAAAGCCUUGGGGCUAAUACCCUCGAGGAAGGACAUCACCCACAGAAGAAGCACCGGCUAACUCCGUGCCAGCAGCCGCGGUAAUACGGAGGGUGCGAGCGUUAAUCGGAAUUACUGGGCGUAAAGCGCGCGUAGGCGGUCUGAUAAGCCGGUUGUGAAAGCCCCGGGCUCAACCUGGGAACGGCAUCCGGAACUGUCAGGCUAGAGUGCAGGAGAGAAAGGUAGAAUUCCCGGUGUAGCGGUGAAAUGCGUAGAGAUCGGGAGGAAUACCAGUGGCGAAGGCGGCCUUCUGGACUGACACUGACGCUGAGGUGCGAAAGCGUGGGUAGCAAACAGGAUUAGAUACCCCAGUAGUC